rnacentral:rRNA from 1 species
AGAGCGAACGCUGGCGGCAGGCCUAAAACAUGCAAGUCGAACGCCCGUAGCAAUACGGGAGUGGCAGACGGGUGAGUAACACGUGGGAACGUACCCUUUGGUUCGGAACAACACAGGGAAACUUGUGCUAAUACCGGAUAAGCCCUUACGGGGAAAGAUUUAUCGCCAGAGGAUCGGCCCGCGUCUGAUUAGCUUGUUGGUGAGGUAACGGCUCACCAAGGCUACGAUCAGUAGCUGGUCUGAGAGGAUGAUCAGCCACACUGGGACUGAGACACGGCCCAGACUCCGACGGGAGCAGCAGUUAGAAUCUGGACAGUGGCGCAAGCCUGAUCCAGCCAUCGCCGCGUGAGUGAUGAAGGCCGUUAGGUUAGUAAA